AACGUACGCUGGCGGCACGCCUAACACAUGCAAGUCGAACGAAGUAGCAAUACUUAGUGGCAGACGGGUGAGUAACAUGUGGGUAUCUGCCCUUUGGCCUGGAAUAACACGAGGAAACUUGUGCUAAUACCGGAUAAGUCUUUACGGAGAAAGCUUUAUGCACCAUUGGAUGAGCCCGCACUUGAUUAGUUUGUUGGUGGGGUAAUGGCCUACCAAGACUGUGAUCAAUAGCUGAUUUGAGAGGAUGAUCAGCCACAUUGGGACUGAGACACGGCCCAAACUCCUACGGGAGGCAGCAGUGGGGAAUCUUGCACAAUGGAGGAAACUCUGAUGCAGCGAUGCCGCGUGAGUGGAGAAGGCCCUUGGGUUGUAAAGCUCUUUCGUCGGGGAAGAAAAUGACUGUACCCGAAUAAGAAGGUCCGGCUAACUUCGUGCCAGCAGCCGCGGUAAUACGAAGGGACCUAGCGUAGUUCGGAAUUACUGGGCUUAAAGAGUUCGUAGGUGGUUGAAAAAGUUAGUGGUGAAAUCCCAGAGCUUAACUCUGGAACUGCCAUUAAAACUUUUCAGCUAGAGUAUGAUAGAGGAAAGCAGAAUUUCUAGUGUAGAGGUGAAAUUCGUAGAUAUUAGAAAGAAUACCAAUUGCGAAGGCAGCUUUCUGGAUCAUUACUGACACUGAGGAACGAAAGCAUGGGUAGCGAAGAGGAUUAGAUACCCUCGUAGUCCAUGCCGUAAACGAUGUGUGUUAGACGUUGGAAAUUUAUUUUCAGUGUCGCAGCGAAAGCGAUAAACACACCGCCUGGGGAGUACGACCGCAAGGUUAAAACUCAAAUGAAUUGACGGGGACCCGCACAAGUAGUGGAGCAUGUGGUUUAAUUCGAAGAUACGCGCAGAACCUUACCAACACUUGACAUGUUCGUCGCGACUCUAAGAGAUUAGAGUUUUCGGUUCGGCCGGACGAAACACAGGUGCUGCAUGGCUGUCGUCAGCUCGUGUCGUGAGAUGUUGGGUUAAGUCCCGCAACGAGCGCAACCCUCACUUUUAGUUGCCAUCAUUAAGUUGGGCACUCUGAAAGAACUGCCAGUGAUAAGCUGGAGGAAGGUGGGGAUGACGUCAAGUCCUCAUGGCCCUUACGUGUUGGGCUACACACGUGCUACAAUGGUAUCUACAACAGGAAGCAAGACUGCGAGGUCAAGCAAAUCCUUAAAAGAUACCUCAGUUCGGAUUGCACUCUGCAACUCGAGUGCAUGAAGCUGGAAUUACUAGUAAUCGUGGAUCAGCGUGCCACGGUGAAUGCGUUCCCGGGUCU
rnacentral:rRNA from 1 species